rnacentral:rRNA from 1 species
CUUUAAAGAGUUCGUAACAGAUCACCAGUCGAGUUUCUGGGCCCAGAAAAUGGACGGGACUAAGCGGUUCACCGAUACUUCGGGCCACCGAAAGGUGAUGCGGUAGAGAGGCGUCGUGCGUGGAUGGAAGCAGGGGCGUGAGUUCCUGUGGACCGCGUUCGAAUGAUAAUCAUGGGAAGAGUAGUAGCGUAGACGGGUGAGAAUCCCGUCCGCCGUAGGGGCUAGGGUUCCUCGACGAUGUUCAUCAGUCGAGGGUUAGUCGGUCCUAAGGUUUCCCCUAACAGGAGAAAUCGAAAGGGAAGCAGGUUAAUAUUCCUGCACCAGUCCGUAUUUUGUCCAGUUCUUGACACAUCGGGUGCGACGGAGCACUCCUGUCGGAGUGUUGCCGGCCGCGAUAAAGCCGUGGAGAACCGUAAUGGUGAGAAGCAGCCUAAGCGACCGGGAGGCGGAGUAUUUCGCUUCCGUUCUAUCCUGGUGUCCGUGAAAAGAGAGCUGGAGCCGUGCUGACUGACCGUACCG